rnacentral:rRNA from 1 species
AGAGUUUGAUCCUGGCUCAGGAUGAACGCUAGCGGCAGGCCUAACACAUGCAAGUCGAGGGGCAGCGGGGAAAAGCUUGCUUUUCCGCCGGCGACCGGCGCACGGGUGCGCACCGCGUAUGGAACCUGCCUUGUACAGGGGAAUAGCCCAGGGAAACUUGGAUUAAUGCCCCGUAGUACCGUAUUUCGGCAUCGUUAUACGGUUAAAGCCUUCGGGCGGUACAAGAUGGCCAUGCGUCCCAUUAGCUAGAUGGUAAGGUAACGGCUUACCAUGGCUACGAUGGGUAGGGGCCCUGAGAGGGGGAUCCCCCACACUGGUACUGAGACACGGACCAGACUCCUACGGGAGGCAGCAGUGAGGAAUAUUGGACAAUGGAGGAGACUCUGAUCCAGCCAUGCCGCGUGCAGGAAGAAUGCCCUAUGGGUAGUAAACUGCUUUUAUACGGGAAGAAAAAGAGCUACGUGUAGCUUACUGACGGUACCGUAAGAAUAAGGACCGGCUAACUCCGUGCCAGCAGCCGCGGUAAUAC